GCAGCUACGGGCAGCAGAACCCUUCUUAUGACUC
rnacentral:misc_RNA from 1 species